rnacentral:rRNA from 1 species
AGUAUUUAGACAAAAAGCAAAAGAAGAUCAAAAAACAAACAUUUUUAAAUUAAAAUAAAAUAUUACCCCAACCAAAUAAACAAAUAUACAUAUAUUAUAUAUAAAAAUUAUGAAAAACAUCUUAUCUAUAAAAAUUUAAGGGUCUUUUAGUCUAAUAGAAUCUCACUAAAACUUUUCAAAAGUAAAACAAAUUCAAAACAUAAAUUAAUGAAAAAGAAGCUUUUCAACUUCCUUCAUACAAGCUCUCAAUUAAAGAACAAAUGAUUACGCUACCUUAGCAUAGUCAAAAUACCAUGGCUAUUUAAAUCAUUGAGCAGAAAAUACUGAGUAAAAACUCAGAAUAGAUUUUGAUAAACAUUUAAAACUUCAUUUUACUAAUUAUAACAAUUAACAAUUAAAUAAAUAAACAAAAAAGAAAAAGACACAAAAAUCUACUAAUAAUAAAAUUAUAAAAUAAGACAAUAAAACAUAAUUAAAAUAAUUCAAAACAUAAUAAAUAAAAACAAUAGUUAAGACACAAAAAAAGAACUUUUAACAAUUUAAAUAUAAAAUAUAAAUACCAAAAAAUAAAAAGAGCUCACCCCCCAAAGAAUAAGUAAAACCAGAUAUCAAAAGAAGCGAAAGCAUAUAACCACAAUCCAAUUUUUUAAUAAUUCAACAUAAAAAAGAAAUAGAUAGUUCAAACUUUUUUCGGGAAAACAAAAAUAUAAUAUAUUCCUCCUCCCCUAAUACAAAAGGUAUUGAUUAAAACAAUCCACAAUUUAUAAUAAUAUAAUAAAAUAUAGAUAAAUAACAAAAUUGCCUAUUAAAUCCUCCAAAAUCAAAAUAUGGUAUGUCUUUUACACCAAAGGCAAAGCAUAACUGUUACAUCUUGAUACGAUAUAAAAGG